AUACGGAGGAUCCGAGCGUUAUCCGGAUUUAUUGGGUUUAAAGGGUGCGCAGGCGGCCAUUUAAGUCAGCGGUUAAAUCGUGGGGCUCAACCCCAUUCUGCCGUUGAUACUGGGUGGCUUGAUUGCGGUCGAGGUUGGCGGAAUUCGUUGUGUAGCGGUGAAAUGCAUAGAUAUGACGAAGAACACCGAUUGCGUAGGCAGCUGACCAGACCGCAAAUGACGCUCAUGCACGAAAGUGCGGGGAUCGAACAGGAUUAGAUACCCUGGUAGUCCACGCAGUAAACGAUGAUCACUAGCUGUUUGCGAUACAUUGUAAGCGGCACAGCGAAAGCGUUAAGUGAUCCACCUGGGGAGUACGCCGGCAACGGUGAAACUCAAAUGAAUUGACGGGG
rnacentral:rRNA from 1 species